GGAGAAGUGCCAGAGUGGUUGAAUGGGACUGACUCGAAAUCAGUUAUACGGGUCAAACUGUAUCCGGGGUUCGAAUCCCUGCUUCUCCG
rnacentral:tRNA from 1 species